AUACGAGGGGUGCAAGCGUUGCUCGGAAUUAUUGGGCGUAAAGGGUAGGUAGGUGGUCUCAUUUGUCUAGGGUGAAAGCCUUGAGCUCAACUCAAGAAGUGCCCUGGAAACGGUGAGACUGGAGUCCUGGAGAGGGUCGUGGAAUUCCCGGUGUAGCGGUGAAAUGCGUAGAGAUCGGGAGGAACACCAGAGGCGAAGGCGGCGACCUGGACAGGUACUGACACUCAACUACGAAAGCGUGGGGAGCAAACAGGAUUAGAUACCCUGGUAGUCCACGCUGUAAACGAUGGAUACUAGACUUGGCGGGUCUUGACCCCUGCCGAGUCGGAGCUAACGCACUAAGUAUCCCGCCUGGGAAGUACGGUCGCAAGACUAA
rnacentral:rRNA from 1 species